ensembl:lncRNA
GGCCUAGGAGGCCUCAAGCUUCCUAGGGCAAAUUGGGGGGCGAGCUCUGCUGAGCUGUCUCAGGCCCUGAGCUCCUGGAAGGCUGGCCGAGGAUGCACUUGCAGCCCCCUCUUAGUUCCUCUGCACUGUCCUGCUUUUCCCGGUUCAUUACAGUGCCCAAACUUCUAAGCACCAAAUAUGUGAAUUAAAGAGAAAAAAGUCAUUUUUGUUUGCUGGGGAAAACCUGAACCAUCUUUUAAAAUGCUGAUGAGACUACACUUGCAAAGCUUGCUUCUUUUUUCAGGGGAGCACUUAUCCAAAAUCGGCUCAUCCGGUGCACUGGUUCACCCAGACUUCUGUCCUUGAGACAGUCCAGCCUGGUAUGAUGCUCAGCCCUCAGUAUAUCCGCUUCUCCUCUCACCUGCUCUCACCAAAGAUCGAUGUGGCUGUUACAAGUGAAAAUUCUGACUUCCACAGCUGAAGAGAAAAUACUCCAUAUUAACAGAAAGAAGCAUUAGUUGCAAAAGUAAAUAUAAUCUAACAUGGGGUUUUGCUUUCUCGUCUAUAAUGUGGAAAAUUAGAAGGCAGUGAAAAAAUGUCUUUAUUCUUUUUUUAAAAACCUUUCUCAGUAUGGCCUAAUCUACAAGCUUAAAAGGAGAGGCCUGUAACCCAAGAAUUUUAAGCAGCAAUGUUCAUCACAGAAGGUAAAUAAGUAACAUUUUCUAAGCAUUCAUCAUGUACUGCAAAUUAAUCUUAGGAAAGAAAGAAUUUAGGGAUGUACUUAAUCACCUGACUACUAAUUCAGAACAGAGUUAAGAUAGGGGAAGAAAGAAAAAAAAUAGUACAUGAUAAGUUUUGCAGAAUGUGGUUAAAUCUAAAUGGACAUUUGAAAUAGAGAUGAUAUGAAAUUCUUAUCACAUCUGAGGUUAUGCUCUAGGGGAAAAUGUAAUAAAAAUAGAAGCUUUUAAACUAUGUAUCACACAACUAGGUGGGUUAAUAUGAGAGGUUGGGUUCUCAGAAAAAAUGUACAGAAUUUUCAUUUCAUUUUUAAAUUGGAUUGUUUUAUACUUUUUUGUAUUCCUUAAAUAUUCUGGAUGUUAAUCCUUUGGUAAAUAUUGGUAAAUGCUUUCUCCCAUUCUGUUAAGUUUCCUCACUCCGUUGAUUGUUUUCAUUGUCAUGAAGAAGAUUUUUAUUUUGCUGUAAUCCUAUUUGUCCAUUUUUUUUCCUUGUUUCCCAUGCUUUUUGGGGGUCUGUGUAAAAUAUCUCAGUCUACUAUAAUAUUCUGAUGCAUUUUCCCUAAAUUUUCUUGUAGUUUUCUAGUUUUGGGAAAUAAUGAGAGUGACACAAAAUUUACAGAAAUUAAUGAUUAAUAAUUUUCUAAGGUUGUUGAAAGAUAGUAUUUAUCAGAUUCUGAAAGUCCAACAUACUACAAGGACAACGAAUAACUAGACAUGAUUUAGAAAAACUACAAAGUACCCAGAAGGAAGAAACAAGAAAAGUUACAGUGGUUACAAACUAUCUACUUGGCAGUCUAAUCAAAGUACAUUACAAAAACAUCCUCCAAAGCCUGAGAAACAAAAU